GUGGGGAAUAUUGGACAAUGGGGGGAACCCUGAUCCAGCCAUGCCGCGUGUGUGAAGAAGGCCUUUUGGUUGUAAAGCACUUUAAGCGAGGAGGAGGCUACCGAGAUUAAUACUCUUGGAUAGUGGACGUUACUCGCAGAAUAAGCACCGGCUAACUCUGUGCCAGCAGCCGCGGUAAUACAGAGGGUGCAAGCGUUAAUCGGAUUUACUGGGCGUAAAGCGCGCGUAGGUGGCCAAUUAAGUCAAAUGUGAAAUCCCCGAGCUUAACUUGGGAAUUGCAUUCGAUACUGGUUGGCUAGAGUAUGGGAGAGGAUGGUAGAAUUCCAGGUGUAGCGGUGAAAUGCGUAGAGAUCUGGAGGAAUACCGAUGGCGAAGGCAGCCAUCUGGCCUAAUACUGACACUGAGGUGCGAAAGUAUGGGGAGCAAACAGGAUUAGAUACCCGUGUAGUCC
rnacentral:rRNA from 1 species